rnacentral:rRNA from 1 species
AUUGAACGCUGGCGGCAGGCCUAACACAUGCAAGUCGAACGGUAACAGGAAGAAGCUUGCUUCUUUGCUGACGAGUGGCGGACGGGUGAGUAAUGUCUGGGAAACUGCCUGAUGGAGGGGGAUAACUACUGGAAACGGUAGCUAAUACCGCAUAACGUCGCAAGACCAAAGAGGGGGACCUUCGGGCCUCUUGCCAUCGGAUGUGCCCAGAUGAGAUUAGCUAGUAGGUGGGGUAACGGCUCACCUAGGCGACGAUCCCUAGCUGGUCUGAGAGGAUGACCAGCCACACUGGAACUGAGACACGGUCCAGACUCCUACGGGAGGCAGCAGUGGGGAAUAUUGCACAAUGGGCGCAAGCCUGAUGCAGCCAUGCCGCGUGUAUGAAGAAGGCCUUCGGGUUGUAAAGUACUUUCAGCGGGGAGGAAGGGAGUAAAGUUAAUACCUUUGCUCAUUGACGUUACCCGCAGAAGAAGCACCGGCUAACUCCGU